UACGAAGGGAUCUAGCGUUGUUCGGAAUUACUGGGCGUAAAGGGUGCGUAGGCGGUUUGAAAAGUCAGAAGUGAAAGCCCAGGGCUCAACCCUGGAAUAGCUUUUGAUACUUUCUUACUUGAGGACAGGAGAGGUUAGUGGAAUUCCCAGUGUAGAGGUGAAAUUCGUAGAGAUUGGGAAGAACACCAGUGGCGAAGGCGACUAACUGGACUGUAUCUGACGCUGAGGCACGAAAGUGUGGGGAUCAAACAGG
rnacentral:rRNA from 1 species